UACGGAGGUGGCGAGCGUUGUCCGAAGUUACUGGGCGUAAAGCGCGCGUAGGCGGGGGAUUAAGUGAGAAGUGAAAGGCUGGGGCUCAACUCCAUGCAGUGCUUCUCAUACUGGUCUUCUUGAGGGGGGUAGAGAGAAGUGGAAUGGCUGGUGUAGCGGUGAAAUGCGUAGAUAUCAGGAGGAACACCUGUGGCGAAAGCGGCUCACUGGACCAUAACUGACGCUGAUGCACGAAAGCUAGGGGAGCAAACAGG
rnacentral:rRNA from 1 species